rnacentral:rRNA from 1 species
GGUAUUACNUAGGGGCAAGNNUUUUCCGGAAUUACUNGGNGUAAAAGCGUGAGUAGGCGGUUAAUAAAGUCAGNGGUUAAAGGUUGGGGNUCAACCCCAUUAAGCUNUUGAAACUUAUUAACUUGAGUAUAGGAGAGGAAAAGUGGAAUUCCCNGUGUAGCGGUGAAAUGCGUAGAUNUCGGGAGGAGUACCGGUGGCGAANGGCGACUUUCUGGACUUAAAACUGACGCUGAGUCACGAAAGCAUGGGUAGCAAACAGGAUUAGAUACCCUGGUAGUCCAUGCUGUAAACGAUGAACACUAGGUGUCGGGUAGAAAUAUUCGGUGCCGUAAGCAAACGCAAUAAGUGUUCCGCCUGGGGAGUACGUUCGCAAGAAUAAAACUCAAAGGAAUUGACGGGGACCCGCACAAGUAGCGGAGCAUGUGGUUUAAUUCG